UGUAGAUCAAACUAUUUCCAGCAUGGCCAUCGUACAAUGUGACCGGAUCAAUCAACAAUCUAUUAAUUUCUCAUCAAUUGGUAGCUCCGUUGAUAAUGUUAGUAUGACUGAGACUCAAUUCCCACCAUUAUUAGCAUCACAACUUUCUCAGCCUAUAAAUUCCGUGCCAACAAUUGGUAGCUCCGUUGAUAGUGUUAGUA